rnacentral:rRNA from 1 species
CAGCUUAACUGGAAGGGUGCCGUUGAUACUGUCAGGCUUGAAUUUAGUUGCUGUGGGUGGAAUGUGUGGUGUAGCGGUGAAAUGCAUAGAUAUCACACAGAAUAUCGAUUGCGAAGGCAGCUCACAAAGCUAAAAUUGACGCUGAUGCACGAAAGUGUGGGGAUCAAACAGGAUUAGAUACCCUGGUAGUCCACACUGUAAACGAUGAUAACUCGCUGUCGGCGAUACAUAGUCGGUGGCCAAGCGAAAGCGAUAAGUUAUCCACCUGGGGAGUACGACCGCAAGGUUGAAACUCAAAGGAAUUGACGGGGGCCCGCACAAGCGGAGGAACAUGUGGUUUAAUUCGAUGAUACGCGAGGAACCUUACCCGGGCUCGAACGGUGCAUGAAUGAUUAAGAGAUUGAUCAGUCCUUCGGGACAUGUAUCGAGGUGCUGCAUGGUUGUCGUCAGCUCGUGCCGUGAGGUGUCGGCUUAAGUGCCAUAACGAGCGCAACCCUUGUCGUUAGUUACCAUCAAGUAAUGUUGGGGACUCUAGCGAGACUGCCACCGUAAGGUGUGAGGAAGGGGGGGAUGACGUCAAAUCAGCACGGUCCUUACGUCCGGGGCGACACACGUGUUACAAUGGUAGGUACAGAGGGCAGCUACCCAGUGAUGGGGUGCGAAUCUCAAAAACCUAUCUCAGUUCGGAUUGGAGUCUGCAACUCGACUCCAUGAAGUUGGAUUCGCUAGUAAUCGCGCAUCAGCCAUGGCGCGGUGAAUACGUU